ensembl:lncRNA
AUCUUGUGGAAGAUCCCUGUGUACCUGAGACCUUCUAAGGAUACUUGAAGCUGGAUUCAAACACCAGACACAGUCCACAUCUUGUGAAACAGCAUCCCUAACAGAAAUAUGAGAAUUCUCCAGUACAACUUCAAUAAUGCCCUGGAACUUCUCAAAGAUUUUGUAUUUCCUUCUAGACCAGCUCAGCUGAGUAAAUCCAGUUUCUUCAAACUUUCUUCCUGUGCCAAGGCAUUCAACCAUCUAAUCAUAUUGGCAGUCUUUCACUGGACACUCUCCAAUUGUGCAGUGAGGGAUCAAAACAGUCAAUCGUGCAUAACAAUUAUCUCAAAAACAAUUCAUGCUGAGUGCUGCCAAUUUACUGUCUCUUCAACAACUAACAAAGAUGGCCUGAGAGAUUUUGAAAUUUUACAUUUUCCAAAAGUAUUUUAAUUCUUCAAUUCUAUUGGUAUAAUGUUUUGCUGUUAAUUUUUAUUUUUUAGUAAUUUCUGGGGAAAUCUUUAAACUUAAAAAAAAAAAGGAAAAUAAUCUUAAUUCUGAUAAUUUUACUUUUAAAAAUACGGUGUAGGUUCUCAGCAUUUAUUGAUUGUAAUGGUGGUUGCAAAAUAGCUUAGCAGCUUAAAACAACUUAAAAUAAAUCACUGUCAUGUUUAAAAUCAUAUAUAUUCAACAUACAGACAUUCAUUUAAUCUGAGCAUCACUUUCUGAAAAGAAGUCUAAUGAAUCAAUAGUAGUGAUAAAUAUUCUUUUGUUUCUGCAUAAGCUACAGUACUUGUAUCUAUAAGAGUAGUCGUAGAUGCAUCUGUCAGCUUCAAUUAGAACACUUCUGUUUUCAUGCUGCUAAAGAGAAAGAUCUAUUCAGCAAUUAAGAAAGCAGUACAGAAAAAGAAACUAGUAGAGAAAAGUGGACAGAGUCAUCAGCUAUCAUCUAUCAGACAACAAAGCAGAAUCACUGUGUUUCUGUCUGUCGUGGCCAGAGGGUGAAUCAGUUAAUCAUUUGUAACUUGUAUUUUAAACAACUUUAAUGUAUACAGAUGAAUAUGCCACAGUAUUCUCUCCCUUUCUCUUAAGAGUUUACAUUGUGUGUAAUCUGUUACUUUAAGAUAUACAUUCCUGUAUGCAGAAUAUUAUGGAUUUCUAUUUCUGUAACCAAGCCAAAGGUAGUUUGAUAUUUUUCCCUGAGUCUUCAACUGAAAGAUGAAAAUAAAAGUUAAACA